AUGCCACAUGAGUCAACGGUCGAGCACGCGCACGUGGACAUGGACAUGGAGUCUCCGCUCGCCACGCGAAACCGCACCCACUGCAGCGACUGCAAGGAGCUGGAGAGCAAACGCCACCAGCUGACCCGCUCCUUCAGCGAGAUCAAGCCCCCCAACCUGUUCCCCCAAACGCCCCAGGAGAUCACCCACUGCCACGAUGAGGAUGACGACGAGGAGGAGGAGGAGGAGGAAGAGGAAGAGUAAUAGAAUGGAUGUGCAGAAAGGUGCUCUCUGCUCCUGACGCCUCAUGUUUGCCAGCAGAGAUUCUGUCAGAAGGAAGUCUUCCUCCUGUAGAGUCCUGGAAGCAAGUCCAAACCCAGGAACUGAGCCAACAGCUGCACCCCAGCAAACAUCCAACACUUAGUGAGGCGUCAGCCGGCAGAGCCGCAUCCAAACAACUGUUUACACUUCAGUCCAGCUCAUCUUUACUGUAAUUCUAACUUUAGGCAGGAUAAAAGUGGAAGUCAAAUCUAAGAAACCCCUACAGUGUGAGCUCCGAGUCUCCAGUGGAGUACAGCAGAGCGUCCUCUUCUUCAUGUGUGUCUCUCAUCUUCUCACGAUGAUCUUUAUCUGCCAAAGUGGCCUGACUGAGACUUCAGCAUCCUGAGAGUAACAAACCAUCUGCUGUGAAACAACCGAGCUGCUCAACCAAUAUAUGCUGUAUGUGCAAGCUCAAGAUUUCUGUCUGCGCAAACAGAGUGACUGCUGUCUGCGCAAAUGGAGUGUCUGCACAAAGAGAGUGUCUACGCAAAGAGGGUGUCUGCGCAAAUACUGUUUGCGUAAAAGAGUGUCUGAUGUCUUUGAGAGAACAGCAAACGCUGUCUGCGCAAACGGAGUGUCUGCGCAAAGAGUGUCUGCCAGAGAACGGUAAACUCUGUCUGCGCAAAUGGACUGUCUGCACAAAGAGUGUCUGCCAGAGAACGGCAGAUGCUGUCUGCGCAAAUGGAGUGUCUGCACAAAGAGUGUCUUUCAGAGAACAGCAAACGCUGUCUGCGCAAAUGGAGUGUCUGCGCAAAGAGUGUCUGCCAGAGAAUGGCAGAUGCUGUCUGCGCAAAUGGAGUGUCUGCACAAAGAGUGUCUGCCUGAGAACGGCAGAUGCUGUCUGCGCAAAUGGAGUGUCUGCGCAAACAGAGUUUAUGAUGUCUGCCAGAGAUGUCUGCGCAGUGUCUGCUGUCUGCCAGAGAAUGGCAGAUGCUGUCUGCACAAAGAGAGUGUCUGCGCAGACACUCUGCCUGCGCAAAUAGUGUCUGAUGUCUCCCAGAGAGCGGCAAACGCUAUUUGCACAAAGAUGGCACAUAAUGUCUGUAGAAGGAUGGCACCUGCUGUCUGCGCAGAGAGCCCUCCUUGCGCACAGAACAUCUGCGCAGAGAAAUCACACGCUAUCUGGGCAUGGACAGUGAAUGUUUGCUGUCUGCAUGAGCACUGCAUCUGCUGUCUGCGCAAAGAGAGAAUCUGCUGUCUGCGUAAGGACAGCGUUCUCUCUCUGUGUCUGCCGUUUUUGGGUGGACAGCAUCUAUUCUAGCGCAUGUUGUCUGCACAGGAACAGUAUUAGCUGUCUGCAGCUUUUUUUGUAAAAAGAAACAAAAAAAGAGGACAACCACUUUUUAUUUUUAUGAAACCUAUCCAUUUUUUUUUUUUGUAGAGGGGUUGCUGGUCAUAAUGAGCGCUGCAGCACAGGACAGAUGUUUGUGUGAGUGGACGCUUGUCAGGUGCAUGAUGGGAACAUGGAAGUGUUAAAAGGUGAGGCGUUUUGGGUAUGUUUUCAGUUCUGGUGUGUUCAGGGCUUCUGCGUGCCUGUUUGCGCUGUGAAGGAUCUUUAAUAUUUUCAGAAAGUGCUGGUCCUUCUUCUGACACUCCUCUGCAUCGCAGGGCAUCGCCUCUGUUCCAAACUCAUGUUCAGUUGGCUGCAGUUUACAGAAUUACAGCUACGUAUCACUAAUUCACAACACAUCCAGGGAUAUAAAAACUUUUUAGACUUUCAGAUUCAGUUUUUCAUUAAUAAAUAACUAAGAGAAAAUAGAAAUUUAGGGUCAUUUUAUCAAACGGCUGUAAUUUUUCAUUCUUUUCUGGGAAAGCUUUGGAGAAGAAAUAUUUGAAGAAGCGGGAAACGCCAAUCAGCGUCUCUCCUGUCGCGGUCUUGCCAUCAGAGCAGCUCAGGGGUCAGCACAGAGCGUCAGUCCUCUAAAUGUUUGGACCUCAAAGGGAAAGAAGCUGCUCCUGCACACGUCGGCGUGGUUUGCUGUGGAGUAGAUCGGUGAAGCAGAGCUUUUAUGAGAAGAACCGUGGGUGUUUUUAUGAAAGAACCACAUGUUUAGUAUCAGAGGAGGCAGAUGUGUGUCAUAUUCAUUCUGCUAUAUCGCUUUUAUUCUACUGUUUUCCAUCAUUUAAAAACAUGUUAUGUCUGUUUUUUUAUUGUUACUGUAGUUUACUCCAGAAAACUGCACAUUUGUACAAAAAAAACGGUUUGAAGUGAAGGAAGUGUGAAAUGAAGCAUCAUCCAUAUUUUCAGCUCCAUCGGGUUCUUGUUUUUCUAAGCUUGUUUUUUUAAACGGUUUGCUUCACGAGCUGUAAAUAGACUUUUUUUCCUCUUUCAAAGUCACAUUCAUGUUUUUGUACUACACAUGCGACUCUGUAACUCCAGUUCUCCUGGAAAAGGCCUUUCGACGGGUUCUCCUUCGUCCCGAUGCCAAGAAUUCCUGUGUGCACGAGAGCGGGCGCAGCCUGUUGUUUUCUAAUCUGAAGUGAUUUUUGUUUCCAUGCAAACUUUUCUCCUGGAUGAUGUUUUGUUUGUAUCCAGAAAAAACCCUUCAGACUGUACAACGAGUUAGGAAUAUAAAUCUAGAAUAAAUGUAGUUUGUUAUAAAUUGUUGUCUUAUUUUGUCAUGUUUCAAAAAAAGCUUAACAGGACAGUGUUUGCAGUGAGAAAUUUUUGAAAUGAAGACUGUUUCCGACAGUUGCAUCGAAGCCUCACAGCAUCAGUCAGCUCUGCUUUUACAGGACACUGUCCUGUAAGGUUGCAUCCAAAAAACGCUGAACCUGGAUGAAGCUUUUGUGAGGAUGAAGCACUGCAAGAUUUACCAAACAUUUCAUGAUCUCUUAUUUAGGCCUCUUGACAAAAUGUUAUGUACAACUAGAAAAGUUGCACAACCUGCGCUAAUGCUAGUGUGAAUGCUUUUUGCUGAGAGGAGUUGCUAAAGAUGCUGAAGCUUUUUGCUGAAAAUCAAAAGCUAUUUGCAAAAUAUUAAAUUUGCUAAAAUACUUGAAAUUCAAUUAAAGAAC
rnacentral:lncRNA from 1 species